CAUGGCUAUUUAUGUACCAAGAUUUUGUGGCAGUUCGCGCCAUGCCUUAUCAUGUCAAAACAUUCUAUACAACUUCAUGAACAACAGGGAUGAAGUAUGUUCAUGCAUGACGGCUUAAGAGGAUAUCCAUCACGUUCCACCAUUCUUCCUCUACAAUUUUUUUCACAGCAGCUGCAUCGCGGAAUUUUAUGUAGAGUCAGCAAAGGUGUUCAUCUCAGUGUGAUAAGUGUUUCCUUUUAAGCAAGCCAUUGUAUGGGUAAUGAAGACAGAAACCUGUAGUCUUAUUACCCAUGCUUGAAAUAUAUCAUAAUCCACAAUUUUACCUCAAAAAAUGAAACAUGGAUAGAGAUAAAAAAAGGUGGAUUUCCAUUUAAUAUAAGGGAUAUCAGUGUUAUUUUUUUAUGAAAUGUACUUUUUUUAGUGAUCUUGUACCUGAAUAAUGUUUUCCCAAUUA